rnacentral:snRNA from 1 species
AUCCUGCUUUGGCAGAACAUAUACUAAAACUGGAACUUCUCUGGAUAUGGAGAUUAGCACAGCCCCUGUGCCAGGAUGACGGGCGAAUGUGUGAGGCAUGCCUUAUGUUU